rnacentral:rRNA from 1 species
UACGUAGGGUGCAAGCGUUGUCCGGAAUUAUUGGGCGUAAAGAGCUCGUAGGCGGUCUGUUGCGUCGGCUGUGAAAACCCGAGGCUCAACCUCGGGCCUGCAGCCGAUACGGGCAGACUAGAGUUCGGCAGGGGAGACUGGAAUUCCUGGUGUAGCGGUGAAAUGCGCAGAUAUCAGGAGGAACACCGGUGGCGAAGGCGGGUCUCUGGGCCGAUAACUGAC